UUGCGCUCGUGGAGCAUGCGGGAGCCCUUCGCGGGGGGACCAGUAGGCGUAACGGGUGAGUAACACGUGGGCAAUCUGCCCUGCACUCUGGGACAACCCGGGGAAACCCGGGCUAAUACCGGAUACGACCCUCCAGGGCAUCUUGGGGGGUGGAAAGCUCCGGCGGUGCAGGAUGAGCCCGCGGCCUAUCAGCUUGUUGGUGGGGUGAUGGCCCACCAAGGCGACGACGGGUAGCCGGCCUGAGAGGGCGACCGGCCACACUGGGACUGAGACACGGCCCAGACUCCUACGGGAGGCAGCAGUGGGGAAUAUUGCACAAUGGGCGAAAGCCUGAUGCAGCGACGCCGCGUGAGGGAUGACGGCCUUCGGGUUGUAAACCUCUUUCAGCAGGGAAGAAGCGCAAGUGACGGUACCUGCAGAAGAAGCACCGGCUAACUACGUGCCAGCAGCCGCGGUAAUACGUAGGGUGCGAGCGUUGUCCGGAAUUAUUGGGCGUAAAGAGCUCGUAGGCGGCUUGUCGCGUCGGUCGUGAAAGCCCGGGGCUUAACCCCGGGUCUGCGGUCGAUACGGGCAGGCUAGAGUUCGGUAGGGGAGAUCGGAAUUCCUGGUGUAGCGGUGAAAUGCGCAGAUAUCAGGAGGAACACCGGUGGCGAAGGCGGAUCUCUGGGCCGAUACUGACGCUGAGGAGCGAAAGCGUGGGGAGCGAACAGGAUUAGAUACCCUGGUAGUCCACGCCGUAAACGUUGGGAACUAGGUGUGGGCGACAUUCCACGUCGUCCGUGCCGCAGCUAACGCAUU
rnacentral:rRNA from 1 species